GCUCCUGACUCACAACACCAAAACAAACAGGCGUGCAUUGUGGUUUGGCGCAGCGAGAAGAAGUGGCUUAAGUGACGUGUGGUGAAACCCUCGCCGCCCCGCAGUGUUGCCGCGCUGCAAGGUCUGGUGCCAUUAACUUUGCGAGGGUGGCCUCCUUGUUACAGUGAAGUGUCUGCCUACCAGCCAUGUGUGGGUCAAUGGUGCCGCGCCGCUCCUCCGUGUAUAACACAGUGUACCGUAAUCGUCAGUUUCAGGUCAUAGUGCUGGGUGGUUCACCGCGCAGGGACGAGAGGAAGUGACGGCCACGGAUACCACGCACGACUUGACGCAUUCAGUCUGGCAGGCAGGAUGACAGACACCAAAGGAUGUGGUAGUGGUGUUGCUCAGUCACGGAUCUCAGUGGUAUGAUAGCCAUAGGGAAAACAAAAAUAGGUGGGGGGAGGCGGAAAGCAGCCCCAGAAAAAAUUAUGCCCUGGAAACUCUUCUUCGGGAAUGAAACCUUUUUGUGCGGGAAGAAAUUUACGGCGUGGAGAGGAAUCAGAAGUGAACGAGAAGAGCGAAGAUCCACCGCUGAUUGGGGAUUAGCUGCGCGCCUCGACGUGUUCAUGGCCUGAGUGCAGCAUGAGGCGGGAGUGAAAGUUUGUGAAGUGAGGGUGACGGGUGACGGAUGACGGGUGACGGGAAGGUGGCUUGAAACGAAUUGACAGGGAAGAAAACUACUUGGAUAAUUUUUUUUCGCAUUUACUUCGCAUUUACUUAGCAUUUUCUACGAGUGUCAUGACGUAACGAAGGUGAAUGAUAUCAAAUUAAAAAGAAUAUGAAGGAGUUGGUAGCUUGAGACGAACUAGCGGGAAAAGAAUAGCUAUUUCGUUCAUUUACUUCGCGGGUGAAGACGUAACGAAGAUCAAUGAUAAUCAAAACAAUAAAUAGUGCAUAUGAAAGUGAAUAAAAAUUACUGCAUUAAUUUUCUGAUCAGUAUUUCUUCCUGUACACUUUACUAACACAUCAUGCAUAAGGAAGUUCCCCUUGGUAAACAUUACGAUAGCGUUUAAAUAUAAGUUGUGUCCUUUUUCUUCAUUCAACAGGGCGAAGGAGGAGAAGAGAAGAAUUACUUGUCGCCCCAAAACAAGUUCACGCUGUGUUAUAACCACUGUUCAUUAUGUUACACGCUUUUCGGACGGGUCGUAUUUGGAAGCAAUGACACACACACACACACACACACACACACACACACACACACACACACACACACAGAAAAACAUCAAACACCUGUGAAUAUCAUCGCCUUACAUACAUACAAACAUACAGCUGUAGAAAAAGGAUGCAGCCACCGCCAGCACGAGGGACAGAUAGACAGGCAGGCAGACAGGCAGUGGGCACCGCGACGUCGUGACUAACUUCCCGUGGCACCUGAACGCACUUGCUCCAUCA